rnacentral:misc_RNA from 1 species
ACGUCCUCCCGUGCAUUCCUUUUCAUAUCCGGCCCAAGUGCAACGUUAGCCUUGGCCGAGUUUCGGGUUUCCUGUGUUGCGUACCUACUGUGAAGGCAUUCGUUUGUCCCAUCGUCCCUCAUUCGUCUUGUGUUGCCCUUCGGGGUUGCGGCACGGGACGAACCUCGAAGCUUCCUCUGUGAUCCACGCCACGCAUGUCGUGUCCGUGGCCCAUGGAGUUUUGCUCGAGCUCUUGGAUGCGGAACGCCUUGAGGGUAUGGGGUCUCACGGCCUCUGUUUUGCCCGAACUUGCGUUCGUCGCUAACUAGCGUACGACUGCCGUUUCCCGCCUUGGGCGGUCGUCCCUGUGGGCGGCCUGCUCAUGCGGUGACGGCGUCGGUGAGGAAUGCU